GGUUAAGCGACUAAGCGUACACGGUGGAUGCCCUGGCAGUCAGAGGCGAUGAAGGACGUGCUAAUCUGCGAUAAGCGUCGGUAAGGUGAUAUGAACCGUUAUAACCGGCGAUUUCCGAAUGGGGAAACCCAGUGUGUUUCGACACACUAUCAUUAACUGAAUCCAUAGGUUAAUGAGGCGAACCGGGGGAACUGAAACAUCUAAGUACCCCGAGGAAAAGAAAUCAACCGAGAUUCCCCCAGUAGCGGCGAGCGAACGGGGAGCAGCCCAGAGCCUGAAUCAGUGUGUGUGUUAGUGGAAGCGUCUGGAAAGGCGCGCGAUACAGGGUGACAGCCCCGUACACAAAAAUGCACAUGCUGUGAGCUCGAUGAGUAGGGCGGGACACGUGGUAUCCUGUCUGAAUAUGGGGGGACCAUCCUCCAAGGCUAAAUACUCCUGACUGACCGAUAGUGAACCAGUACCGUGAGGGAAAGGCGAAAAGAACCCCGGCGAGGGGAGUGAAAAAGAACCUGAAACCGUGUACGUACAAGCAGUGGGAGCACGCUUAGGCGUGUGACUGCGUACCUUUUGUAUAAUGGGUCAGCGACUUAUAUUCUGUAGCAAGGUUAACCGAAUAGGGGAGCCGAAGGGAAACCGAGUCUUAACUGGGCGUUAAGUUGCAGGGUAUAGACCCGAAACCCGGUGAUCUAGCCAUGGGCAGGUUGAAGGUUGGGUAACACUAACUGGAGGACCGAACCGACUAAUGUUGAAAAAUUAGCGGAUGACUUGUGGCUGGGGGUGAAAGGCCAAUCAAACCGGGAGAUAGCUGGUUCUCCCCGAAAGCUAUUUAGGUAGCGCCUCGUGAAUUCAUCUCCGGGGGUAGAGCACUGUUUCGGCAAGGGGGUCAUCCCGACUUACCAACCCGAUGCAAACUGCGAAUACCGGAGAAUGUUAUCACGGGAGACACACGGCGGGUGCUAACGUCCGUCGUGAAGAGGGAAACAACCCAGACCGCCAGCUAAGGUCCCAAAGUCAUGGUUAAGUGGGAAACGAUGUGGGAAGGCCCAGACAGCCAGGAUGUUGGCUUAGAAGCAGCCAUCAUUUAAAGAAAGCGUAAUAGCUCACUGGUCGAGUCGGCCUGCGCGGAAGAUGUAACGGGGCUAAACCAUGCACCGAAGCUGCGGCAGCGACGCUUAUGCGUUGUUGGGUAGGGGAGCGUUCUGUAAGCCUGUGAAGGUGUGCUGUGAGGCAUGCUGGAGGUAUCAGAAGUGCGAAUGCUGACAUAAGUAACGAUAAAGCGGGUGAAAAGCCCGCUCGCCGGAAGACCAAGGGUUCCUGUCCAACGUUAAUCGGGGCAGGGUGAGUCGACCCCUAAGGCGAGGCCGAAAGGCGUAGUCGAUGGGAAACAGGUUAAUAUUCCUGUACUUGGUGUUACUGCGAAGGGGGGACGGAGAAGGCUAUGUUGGCCGGGCGACGGUUGUCCCGGUUUAAGCGUGUAGGCUGGUUUUCCAGGCAAAUCCGGAAAAUCAAGGCUGAGGCGUGAUGACGAGGCACUACGGUGCUGAAGCAACAAAUGCCCUGCUUCCAGGAAAAGCCUCUAAGCAUCAGGUAACAUCAAAUCGUACCCCAAACCGACACAGGUGGUCAGGUAGAGAAUACCAAGGCGCUUGAGAGAACUCGGGUGAAGGAACUAGGCAAAAUGGUGCCGUAACUUCGGGAGAAGGCACGCUGAUAUGUAGGUGAAGUCCCUCGCGGAUGGAGCUGAAAUCAGUCGAAGAUACCAGCUGGCUGCAACUGUUUAUUAAAAACACAGCACUGUGCAAACACGAAAGUGGACGUAUACGGUGUGACGCCUGCCCGGUGCCGGAAGGUUAAUUGAUGGGGUCAGCGCAAGCGAAGCUCUUGAUCGAAGCCCCGGUAAACGGCGGCCGUAACUAUAACGGUCCUAAGGUAGCGAAAUUCCUUGUCGGGUAAGUUCCGACCUGCACGAAUGGCGUAAUGAUGGCCAGGCUGUCUCCACCCGAGACUCAGUGAAAUUGAACUCGCUGUGAAGAUGCAGUGUACCCGCGGCAAGACGGAAAGACCCCGUGAACCUUUACUAUAGCUUGACACUGAACAUUGAGCCUUGAUGUGUAGGAUAGGUGGGAGGCUUUGAAGUGUGGACGCCAGUCUGCAUGGAGCCGACCUUGAAAUACCACCCUUUAAUGUUUGAUGUUCUAACGUGGACCCGUGAUCCGGGUUGCGGACAGUGUCUGGUGGGUAGUUUGACUGGGGCGGUCUCCUCCUAAAGAGUAACGGAGGAGCACGAAGGUUGGCUAAUCCUGGUCGGACAUCAGGAGGUUAGUGCAAUGGCAUAAGCCAGCUUGACUGCGAGCGUGACGGCGCGAGCAGGUGCGAAAGCAGGUCAUAGUGAUCCGGUGGUUCUGAAUGGAAGGGCCAUCGCUCAACGGAUAAAAGGUACUCCGGGGAUAACAGGCUGAUACCGCCCAAGAGUUCAUAUCGACGGCGGUGUUUGGCACCUCGAUGUCGGCUCAUCACAUCCUGGGGCUGAAGUAGGUCCCAAGGGUAUGGCUGUUCGCCAUUUAAAGUGGUACGCGAGCUGGGUUUAGAACGUCGUGAGACAGUUCGGUCCCUAUCUGCCGUGGGCGCUGGAGAAUUGAGGGGGGCUGCUCCUAGUACGAGAGGACCGGAGUGGACGCAUCACUGGUGUUCGGGUUGUCAUGCCAAUGGCACUGCCCGGUAGCUAAAUGCGGAAGAGAUAAGUGCUGAAAGCAUCUAAGCACGAAACUUGCCCCGAGAUGAGUUCUCCCUGACUCCUUGAGAGUCCUGAAGGAACGUUGAAGACGACGACGUUGAUAGGCCGGGUGUGUAAGCGCAGCGAUGCGUUGAGCUAACCGGUACUAAUGAACCGUGAGGCUUAACCUU
rnacentral:rRNA from 1 species